rnacentral:rRNA from 1 species
UACGUAGGGGGCUAGCGUUGUCCGGAAUCAUUGGGCGUAAAGAGCGUGUAGGCGGUCCGGUAAGUCCGCUGUGAAAGUCGGGGGCUCAACCCUGGGAUGCCGGUCGAUACUGCCGGACUAGAGUUCGGAAGAGGCGAGUGGAAUUCCCGGUGUAGCGGUGAAAUGCGCAGAUAUCGGGAGGAACACCUAUGGCGAAGGCAGCUCGCUGGGACGUUACUGACGCUGAGACGCGAAAGCGUGGGGAGCAAACAGG